UACAGAGGGUGCAAGCGUUAAUCGGAAUUACUGGGCGUAAAGCGCGCGUAGGUGGUUCGUUAAGUUGGAUGUGAAAUCCCCGGGCUCAACCUGGGAACUGCAUUCAAAACUGACGAGCUAGAGUAUGGUAGAGGGUGGUGGAAUUUCCUGUGUAGCGGCGAAAUGCGUAGAUAUAGGAAGGAACACCAGUGGCGAAGGCGACCACCUGGACUGAUACUGACACUGAGGUGCGAAAGCGUGGGGAGCAAACAGG
rnacentral:rRNA from 1 species